GACGAACGCUGGCGGCGUGCUUAACACAUGCAAGUCGAACGGAAAGGCCCUGCUUUUGUGGGGUGCUCGAGUGGCGAACGGGUGAGUAACACGUGAGUAACCUGCCCUUGACUUUGGGAUAACUUCAGGAAAAUGGGGCUAAUACCGGAUAGGAUCUCCUGCUGCACGGUGGGGGUUGGUAAGAUUCGGCGGUUGUGGCUGGACUCGAGGCUUAUCCGCUUGUUGGUGGGGUAGUGGCUUACCACGGCUUUGACGGGUAGCCGGCCUGAGAGGGUGAACGGCCACAUUGGGCCUGAGAUACGGACCAGACUCCUACGGGAGGCAGCAGUGGGGAAUAUUGCACAAUGGGCGGAAGCCUGAUGCAGCAAUGCUGCGUGCGUGAUGACGGCUUUUGGGUUGUAAACCGCUGUCGCCGGUGACGAAGCGUGAGUGACGGUAAUGGGUAAAGAAGCACCGGCUAACUACGUG
rnacentral:rRNA from 1 species